rnacentral:rRNA from 1 species
GACGAACGCUGGCGGCGUGCUUAACACAUGCAAGUCGAGCGGUAAGGCCCUUUCGGGGGUACACGAGCGGCGAACGGGUGAGUAACACGUGGGUGACCUGCCCUCAGCUCUGGGAUAAGCCUGGGAAACCGGGUCUAAUACUGGAUAUGACUCCAUGACGCAUGUUGUGGGGUGGAAAGCCUUGUGCGGCUGAGGAUGGGCCCGCGGCCUAUCAGCUUGUUGGUGGGGUGANGGCCUACCAAGGCGACGACGGGUAGCCGGCCUGAGAGGGCGACCGGCCACACUGGGACUGAGACACGGCCCAGACUCCUACGGGAGGCAGCAGGUGGGGAAUCUUGCGCAAGUGGGACGAAAGCCUGACGCAGCGACGCCGCGUGA